CAGCAAGCCGCGGUAAUACGUAGGGUGCGAGCGUUAAUCGGAAUUACUGGGCGUAAAGCGUGCGCAGGCGGCCCUUUAAGUCAGGUGUGAAAGCCCUGGGCUUAACCUAGGAAUGGCGCUUGAAACUGGGGGGCUAGAGUGCGGCAGAGGGGGGUGGAAUUCCUGGUGUAGCGGUGAAAUGCGUAGAGAUCAGGAGGAACACCGAUGGCGAAGGCAGCCCCCUGGGUCGACACUGACGCUCAGGCACGAAAGCGUGGGGAGCAAACAGGAUUAGAUACCCUGGUAGUCCACGCCCUAAACGAUGUCGACUGGUUGUUGGGGGAGUCAAAUCCCUUAGUAACGAAGCUAACGCGUGAAGUCGACCGCCUGGGGAGUACGGCCGCAAGGUUGAAACUCAA
rnacentral:rRNA from 1 species